rnacentral:rRNA from 1 species
AGAGUUUGAUCAUGGCUCAGAAUCAACGCUGGCGGCGCGCUUAACACAUGCAAGUCGAACGAGAAAGGGUAGCAAUACCUGAGUAAAGUGGCGUACGGGUGAGUAACACGUGGAUCAUCUGCCCUUUGGUGGGGAAUAACUCUGGGAAACCGGAGCUAAUACCGCAUAAGUCCGAGAGGAGAACGCAGCAAUGCGCCGAAGGAGGAGUCCGCGGCUGAUUAGCUAGUUGGUAGGGUAAUGGCCUACCAAGGCGACGAUCGGUAGCCGGCCUGAGAGGGCACACGGCCACACUGGCACUGAGACACGGGCCAGACUCCUACGGGAGGCAGCAGUGGGGAAUCUUGCACAAUGGGGGAAACCCUGAUGCAGCGACGCCGCGUGAGUGAUGAAGCCCUUCGGGGUGUAAAGCUCUUUCGACGGGAACGAUAAUGACGGUACCCGGAGAAGAAGCUGCGGCUAACUACGUGCCAGCAGCCGCGGUAAUACGUAGGCAGCAAGCGUUGUUCGGAAUUACUGGGCGUAAAGAGUACGUAGGUGGUUUGCCAAGUCCGAUGUGAAAUCUCCUGGCUUAACUGGGAGGGUGCGUUAGAAACUGGCAGGCUUGAGUGUGGGAGAGGAGAGCGGAAUUCCUGGUGUAGCGGUGAAAUGCGUAGAUAUCAGGAGGAACGCCUGUGGUGUAGACGGCUCUCUGGACCAUUACUGACACUGAGGUACGAAAGCGUGGGUAGCAAACAGGAUUAGAUACCCUAGUAGUCC